GGUGAUGCGGUAGAGGAGCGUUCUGUAAGCCUGUGAAGGUGAGUUGAGAAGCUUGCUGGAGGUAUCAGAAGUGCGAAUGCUGACAUGAGUAACGACAAUGGGUGUGAAAAACACCCACGCCGAAAGACCAAGGUUUCCUGCGCAACGUUAAUCGACGCAGGGUUAGUCGGUCCCUAAGGCGAGGCUGAAAAGCGUAGUCGAUGGAAAACAGGUUAAUAUUCCUGUACUUCUGGUUAUUGCGAUGGAGGGACGGAGAAGGCUAGGCCAGCUUGGCGUUGGUUGUCCAAGUUUAAGGUGGUAGGCUGGAAUCUUAGGUAAAUCCGGGAUUCUAAGGCCGAGAGCUGAUGACGAGUGUUCUUUUAGAACACGAAGUGGUUGAUGCCAUGCUUCCAAGAAAAGCUUCUAAGCUUCAGGUAACCAGGAACCGUACCCCAAACCGACACAGGUGGUUGGGUAGAGAAUACCAAGGCGCUUGAGAGAACUCGGGUGAAGGAACUAGGCAAAAUGGCACCGUAACUUCGGGAGAAGGUGCGCCGGUGAGGGUGAAGGACUUGCUCCGUAAGCUCAUGCCGGUCGAAGAUACCAGGCCGCUGCGACUGUUUAUUAAAAACACAGCACUCUGCAAACACGAAAGUGGACGUAUAGGGUGUGACGCCUGCCCGGUGCCGGAAGGUUAAUUGAUGGGGUUAGCUAACGCGAAGCUCUUGAUCGAAGCCCCGGUAAACGGCGGCCGUAACUAUAACGGUCCUAAGGUAGCGAAAUUCCUUGUCGGGUAAGUUCCGACCUGCACGAAUGGCGUAACGAUGGCGGCGCUGUCUCCACCCGAGACUCAGUGAAAUUGAAAUCGCUGUGAAGAUGCAGUGUAUCCGCGGCUAGACGGAAAGACCCCGUGAACCUUUACUAUAGCUUUGCACUGGACUUUGAAUUUGCUUGUGUAGGAUAGGUGGGAGGCUUUGAAGCGUGGACGCCAGUUCGCGUGGAGCCAUCCUUGAAAUACCACCCUGGCAACUUUGAGGUUCUAACUCAGGUCCGUUAUCCGGAUCGAGGACAGUGUAUGGUGGGUAGUUUGACUGGGGCGGUCUCCUCCUAAAGAGUAACGGAGGAGUACGAAGGUGCGCUCAGACCGGUCGGAAAUCGGUCGUAGAGUAUAAAGGCAAAAGCGCGCUUGACUGCGAGACAGACACGUCGAGCAGGUACGAAAGUAGGUCUUAGUGAUCCGGUGGUUCUGUAUGGAAGGGCCAUCGCUCAACGGAUAAAAGGUACUCCGGGGAUAACAGGCUGAUACCGCCCAAGAGUUCAUAUCGACGGCGGUGUUUGGCACCUCGAUGUCGGCUCAUCACAUCCUGGGGCUGAAGCCGGUCCCAAGGGUAUGGCUGUUCGCCAUUUAAAGUGGUACGCGAGCUGGGUUUAGAACGUCGUGAGACAGUUCGGUCCCUAUCUGCCGUGGACGUUUGAGAUUUGAGAGGGGCUGCUCCUAGUACGAGAGGACCGGAGUGGACGAACCUCUGGUGUUCCGGUUGUCACGCCAGUGGCAUUGCCGGGUAGCUAUGUUCGGGAAAGAUAACCGCUGAAAGCAUCUAAGCGGGAAACUUGCCUCAAGAUGAGAUCUCACUGGAACCUUGAGUUCCCUGAAGGGCCGUCGAAGACUACGACGUUGAUAGGUUGGGUGUGUAAGCGCUGUGAGGCGUUGAGCUAACCAAUACUAAUUGCCCGUGAGGCUUGACCAUAUAACACCCAAGCAAUUUGCUGACCUGAAAAGGCACCAGAUUGCGGUGUGUGAAGACGAAACGAACCGAAAGUUCGA
rnacentral:rRNA from 1 species